rnacentral:rRNA from 1 species
AUGGGAUGUGAUACAGAUGGCAGAAAACUACACACACAAACAUGCACCAUCCAUAUUCCAAUCAGAGAAGCUCGUCGAGCUAUCCAGCGAUUUGUGCAUGUCACCUUGAGAAUCCAUACAAUGGAGGCGGCCCGAGCAGCGUGGUCGACGGAGCCGGUCGGAGUAGUCGGACAGGGGCGAGUAGUCGGCCUCGCCGCCGAUGAGCUCGGCAACGAAGGCCGCCGCCGAAGACGACGCCGACUCCUCCUCGGCGCCGGAGUACCAGCCACCGUCCUGCUCGGCGGUGGUGCAGGUGCUGGCGGUGGUGUCGACGAAGAAGAAGGCGUCCUUGGCACAGAGGAGGCAGGACGCGUUGUCUUCCGGCAUAGCCGGCCGGUGGGGGCCAUCACUGAGUAG